rnacentral:rRNA from 1 species
GGGGAAUAUUGCACAAUGGGCGCAAGCCUGAUGCAGCGACGCCGCGUGAGGGAUGACGGCCUUCGGGUUGUAAACCUCUUUCACCAGGGACGAAGCGUAAGUGACGGUACCUGGAGAAGAAGCACCGGCCAACUACGUGCCAGCAGCCGCGGUAAUACGUAGGGUGCGAGCGUUGUCCGGAAUUACUGGGCGUAAAGAGCUCGUAGGUGGUUUGUCGCGUUGUUCGUGAAAACUCACAGCUUAACUGUGGGCGUGCGGGCGAUACGGGCAGACUAGAGUACUGCAGGGGAGACUGGAAUUCCUGGUGUAGCGGUGGAAUGCGCAGAUAUCAGGAGGAACACCGGUGGCGAAGGCGGGUCUCUGGGCAGUAACUGACGCUGAGGAGCGAAAGCGUGGGGAGCGAACAGGAUUAGAUACCCUGGUAGUCCACGCCGUAAACGGUGGGUACUAGGUGUGGGUUCCUUCCUUGGGAUCCGUGCCGUAGCUAACGCAUUAAGUACCCCGCCUGGGGAGUACGGCCGCAAGGCUA